rnacentral:sRNA from 1 species
GGAAGUAAAAGUCGUAACAAGGUUUUCGUAGGUGAACCUGCGGAAAGGAUCAUUACCGAGUCGAGGGCUGUAAUGGCUCGAGCCUCCCAACCCUGUGUCGUCAAUACCCCAGCGUGCUUUGGCGGACAGGAGUCCGGGGCGAUUGUGCCCCGGGCGGCCGCCAAGCGCCCAUUCCAAACCCUUGUGAACCGCUCCCUCCGGGGGGUGUCUGAUCCUGCGAGCACGACAGAAUUGAACCCAAAACUUUCAACAACGGAUCUCUUGGUUCCGGCGUCGAUGAAGAACGCAGCGAAAUGCGAUAAGUAAUGUGAAUUGCAGAAUUCAGUGAAUCAUCGAGUCUUUGAACGCACAUUGCGCCCCCUGGCAUUCCGGGGGGCAGGCCUGUUCGAACGUCGUUCGACCCCUCGAGCUCGGCUCGGUCUUGGGGGUGCACACUGCGCCGCCCCGGGUGGGGCGGCCCCCCGAAAGUCAACGGCGGAGCCCGCCGGGUCAGGCGCGCGGUGACUUGUAACUCGUCGCCUCGGCCCGGGCGCCCCGGCCGGAAACCCGCCCGUCCUUCCCCCGCGGGGGACCGAUGGGCCCCAGACGGUUUCACUUCGGAUCAGGCCAGGAGACCCGCUGAACUUAAGCAUAUCAAUAAGCGGAGGACAAGAAACCAACCGGGAUGGCCCCAGUAACGGCGAGUGAA